CCCGUGCAAGCCUCUUCAAUUUUCGGCCCAAGAACAAGUUCCUUGGCCGUUUGUCGGUUUCCUGUGUUGUAUACCUACUAUAAUGGUAUUCGAAUGUGCAAUAUUUUGUUAUUCGCCUUGUGCUGUCCCAUCGGUUGUCCCUUUGGGGUGCGGUGUCGGGUGAACCUCGAAGUGAUCUUCAUGUUCUUCGUCACCCACGAAAUGUGUUGUUGGCGCGGCCCAUGAAGAUUUCUUGAGCUCUCGGAUGCGGAAUAUGCAGAGGGUAGUAGGCCUACAGCCUCUCUUUGCCCGAAUUAAGCGUUUAUUCGCUCAUUACCGAAUGACCGGCCGGSGGKBCCYUGAUGKGUKGRASCCHUCGGGUUUCGGCAUCAUCAUGCAUAC
rnacentral:misc_RNA from 1 species